CAAUAGCGUAUAUUUAAGUUGCUGCAGUUAAAAAGCUCGUAGUUGGAUUUCGGGUGGGAAUGGCCGGUCCGCCGUUUCGGUGUGCACUUGCUACGCCCACCUUGCUGCCGGGGACGUGCUCUUGAGUUCACGCUCGGGACACGGAGUCGGCGAGGUUACUUUGAGUAAAUUAGAGUGUUCAAAGCAGGCCUACGCUCUGAAUACAUUAGCUUGGAAUAACACGAUAGGACUCUGGCCUAUCUUGUUGGUCUGUAGGACCGGAGUAAUGAUUAAGAGGGACAGUCGGGGGCAUUCGUAUUUCAUUGUCAGAGGUGAAAUUCUUGGAUUUAUGAAAGACGAACUACUGCGAAAGCAUUUGCCAAGGAUGUUUUCAUUAA
rnacentral:rRNA from 1 species